GAUGAACGCUGGCGGCGUGCCUAAUACAUGCAAGUCGAACGAACGGACGAGAAGCUUGCCUCUCUGAUGUUCGCGGCGCGGGGGUGUGAAACAUGUGUAUAACCUACCUAUAUGACUGGGAUAACCUCGGGAAACCGGAGCUAAUUCCGGAUGAUCUUUUCAAGCGCAUGGUGCAGGAGGGAAAGACGGUCUGGCUUUGACUUAUAGAUGGCUCCACGCGGCAUUAGCUAGUUGGUAAGGUAACGGCUUACCAAGGCAACGAUGCAUAGCCGAGCUGAGAGGGUGAUCGGCCACACUGGAACUGAGACACGGUCCAGACUCCUACGGGAGGCAGCAGUCGGGAAUCUUCCGCAAUGGGCGCAAGCCUGACGGAGCAACGCCGCGUGUGUGAUGAAGGUCUUCGGAUCGUAAAGCUCUGUUAGUGGGGAAGAACAUAUGUGAGAGGAACUGUGCACAUAUUGACGGUACCUGAUGAAAAAGCACCGGCUAACUACGUG
rnacentral:rRNA from 1 species